UAUAAACCUUUGGUUUGCGCUCACGUGCUGUUCGCCCCUUUGGGGCUGCACUCCGCGGGGGCGCCGGACGACCGGCGACGGCUCGCUGAGCCUGUAUGGGUGUCCAAUUGGACGCUUGAUACGCUCGGUAAGAUGGGCCCGUAGCUCAGUUGGUUAGAGCACACGCNUGAUAAGCGUGGG
rnacentral:misc_RNA from 1 species